rnacentral:rRNA from 1 species
UACGUAGGGUGCAAGCGUUGUCCGGAAUUAUUGGGCGUAAAGAGCUCGUAGGCGGCUUGUCGCGUCGGCUGUGAAAACCUGGGGCUCAACCCCGGGCCUGCAGCCGAUACGGGCAAGCUAGAAUUCGGUAGGGGAGACUGGAAUUCCUGGUGUAGCGGUGGAAUGCGCAGAUAUCAGGAGGAACACCAAUAGCGAAGGCAGCUCGCUGGGACGGUAUUGACGCUGAGGUGCGAAAGCGUGGGGGAGCAAACAGG